UACGUAGGGGGCAAGCGUUGUCCGGAUUUAUUGGGCGUAAAGAGCGUGUAGGCGGCCAUACAGGUCAGCUGUGAAAACUCGAGGCUCAACCUCGAGACGUCGGUUGAAACCGUAUGGCUAGAGUCCGGAAGAGGAGAGUGGAAUUCCCGGUGUAGCGGUGAAAUGCGCAGAUAUCGGGAAGAACACCCGUGGCGAAGGCGGCUCUCUGGGACGGUACUGACGCUGAGGCGCGAAAGCUAGGGGAGCAAACAGG
rnacentral:rRNA from 1 species